rnacentral:tRNA from 1 species
UCCCUGGUAGCUCAGAUGGUAAAGAAUCUGCCUGCAAUGCAGGAGACUUGGGUUCAAACCCUGGGUGGGGAA